rnacentral:rRNA from 1 species
AUUGAACGCUGGCGGCAGGCCUAACACAUGCAAGUCGAGCGGAUGAGUGGAGCUUGCUCCAUGAUUCAGCGGCGGACGGGUGAGUAAUGCCUAGGAAUCUGCCUGGUAGUGGGGGACAACGUUUCGAAAGGAACGCUAAUACCGCAUACGUCCUACGGGAGAAAGUGGGGGAUCUUCGGACCUCACGCUAUCAGAUGAGCCUAGGUCGGAUUAGCUAGUUGGUGAGGUAAAGGCUCACCAAGGCGACGAUCCGUAACUGGUCUGAGAGGAUGAUCGUUCACACGUGAACUGCGACACGGGCCAGACUCCGACGGGGGGCAGAAUUGGGGAAUAUUGGACAAUGGGCGAAAGCCUGAUCCGGCCAUGCCGCGUGUGUGAAGAAGGUCUUCGGAUUGUAAAGCACUUUAAGUUGGGAGGAAGGGCAGUAAGUUAAUACCUUGCUGUUUUGACGUUACCAACAGAAUAAGCACCGGCUAACUUCGUGCCAGCCGCCGCUGUAACAC